AAAAGACUUAGUCCUAACCUUACCGUUAGUUCAUGCUAAAUAUAUACAUGCAAGUAUCCGCGCCCCAGUGUAAAUGCCCUUAUCAUCUUAUCAAGAUGACAGGAGCAGGUAUCAGGCACACCUCAAUCAACCAGUGGUAGCCCAAAACACCUUGCUUAGCCACACCCCCACGGGCAUUCAGCAGUAAUCAAUAUUAAGCAAUAAGUGCAAACUUGACUUAGUUAUAGCAACUCCUAGGGUCGGUAAAUCUUGUGCCAGCCACCGCGGUCACACAAGAGACCCAAAUUAACCACACACGGCGUAAAGAGUGGUACACUACAAUAUCGAACCAUCUAAGAUCAAAGUACAACUAAGCUGUCAUAAGCCCAAGUUGCAUCUAAACCCCACAACGAUCUCAGAUUUUUUCCCCGACAGACUAGAUCCACGAAAGCCAGGACACAAACUGGGAUUAGAUACCCCACUAUGCCUGGCCCUAAAUCUCGAUACUACACCCUACUAAAGUAUCCGCCCGAGAAUUACGAGCACAAACGCUUAAAACUCUAAGGACUUGGCGGUGCCCCAAACCCACCUAGAGGAGCCUGUUCUAUAACCGAUACCCCACGCUACACCCAACCGUCUCUAGCCCCUAAUCAGCCUAUAUACCGCCGUCGCCAGCUCACCUCCCCUGAGAGCAUAACAGUGAGCACAAUAGUCCCACCCUACUAGCAAGACAGGUCAAGGUAUAGCUCAUGAGCCGGAAGUAAUGGGCUACAUUUUCUAACACUAGAAAACACGAAAGGGGACAUGAAACUGUCCCCAGAAGGCGGAUUUAGCAGUAAAGAAAGACAAUAAAGCUCUCUUUAAAUUGGCUCUGGGACACGUACAUACCGCCCGUCACCCUCCUCACAAGCCAAAUCACCAAUAAAUAAUACUCUUAACAAGCUAAAGAUGAGGUAAGUCGUAACAAGGUAAGUGUACCGGAAGGUGUACUUAGCACAUC
rnacentral:ncRNA from 1 species